rnacentral:rRNA from 1 species
UUCCAAUAAGCGGAGGAAAAGAAACCAACAGGGAUUGCCUCAGUAACGGCGAGUGAAGCGGCAAAAGCUCAAAUUUGAAAUCCCCCGGGAAUUGUAAUUUGAAGGACCUAUUAAAACCCUGAGAGAGCCCAAAGUCCAUUGGAGAAUCCCGUCCUUGACAGUGAACUACCAGUGUGGACCUCUGUGAGCAUACAUUUUAGGCCCAACGAGUCGAGUUGUUUGGGAAUGCAGCUCAAAAUGGGUGGUAAAUUCCAUCUAAAGCUAAAUAUUGGCGAGAGACCGAUAGCGAACAAGUACCGUGAGGGAAAGAUGAAAAGCACUUUGGAAAGAGAGUUAAACAGUAUGUGAAAUUGUUAAAAGGGAAACGCUUGCAAGCAGACACAACCUCGGUUGGGCCAGCAUCGGGGCGGGGGGAAACAAAAAAGGUGUGGAAUGUGGCUCUUACCGAGUGUUAUAGCCCCACCCAAUAUUUCCAUCCCAUCCCGAGGCCUGCGAUUCUC